rnacentral:tRNA from 2 species
AGUAAAAUAAGCUAAACUAAGCUUUUGGGCCCAUACCCCAAAUAUGUUGGUGAAAACCCUUCUUUUACUA